GAAAUAGUUUCAAAGAAUUCUACAUUUAUAUCAAAGAAGUCAGAAAUGUAUUGAUAAUAGGGAGUCAUAAUACGACAGUAAUGGAAGAUUCAUCCAAUGGUCACUAUGAAUUAAUUAUUAUAAAUUUGCAAUUGUCAUAUCUUUGUCAUUGUUAAAGUAAUCAAGGGCAAUAACUCUGUAACUGCCUAUAAGAAUAUCAUCAAACGAACUUGACCUUCAUUUUGUAAUGAAAAUAUUGAAUAAAAUUGAAGUAAUAACGUUUGAUGAAGAGGGGGAGUUUUCCUGCUACAGAAACAUAUACUCUUCUAACACAAAUAAGCAUCUUUUUUAAUUAAAGAUUUACCCUUGUUGGCACUGAUUAUACAAAUUAUUUCAAGGGUCAACCUUAUAAAUAUAACCUUUUGCAUUAAAUAUGAAAAAUAAGUUUUCAAUCCAGGAACAGUUAAAUGUUGCUAUUCAGGAGUAAUAUGGUAUAUUAGAAUUUAAACUGCAGUUUGAUGAAGUAUGUGGCAUUCAGAAAUAAUAAUGCAUUAUGUGUCAAGAUCAAGUAAACAGAUGGUGAUGGAUGGCUGCUUAAUGUCUAACAGCAAAUUAAUAUUCAUAUUCAGGACAAGAUCAUGCCAGUAUUAAUGUUACAUGUAUUAUUAACCCUGCUUUGUACUAGACAGAAACUCUGAUCUGAAUGGCACAAGUCAACAAGGUAGCAAUCCACAAGAAGACACGUUUUCUUACCCAGACAAUUUAUUCUGACCCUGAGCCAACCAGUCUUUGUUCUUAAUCCUUAAGGAAAAGUGCUUAGUAUAUGGUUUGAAGUGGCUAGGUUUUGAAUCCACAACCUCUGGCACUCAAGGCAAUUAAAAAAAAUACUAAAUGAUUACUAAGGCGGUCAAGUGAAGCACAGAAACUAUAUUUAGCCCAUACUUCAUCUAGAAAUUAUAUCUUUCAAUACAGCAUAUAAAAUUGAGAAUAGAAAUUGGGAAUAUGUCAAUGAGAUAACAACCCGCCAAAGAAACCUAUUUAACUUAAGUUGACCAUAAU
rnacentral:lncRNA from 1 species